GCCUGGUCUCCUGCUCGCACACGACAACUCCACCGAACCAGACCCAGGCCCACGUGAUGUGCGCGAUCCCGAGCCCCUCACUCCAAUCCGUGGAGACCAGGAGAAUCCCCUCGACCUUCUCGUCCGAUUCCCGAAAACGAAGCUCGAGUUCGUCCCCAGAAUAGAGCGAACGGACCCCACGGAUCUCCUCUGCCUGAAGCCGCUCCGAUGACGAGUUCACCGCCACCGGAGGGGACCACCCACCCGACCUCGUCCCGAAGAUCACCGUCGCCGCCCGAGCUCUAGCAGCACCGCAUAGCCACUGGAGGACGUGCUCGUCGCCACCAAGGACGCCAUCGAGCUGGUUGUUCCCCUCCGUGUCCAGGAGUAUCUACCCCGGGCACCGGAGCGCCCAUAUGCGUUGCCAUCAUUGUUUCCCGGACUGCCAUCGUGUUCUACUCCAAGUUCGACGCCCAGUUCCCCUAUUCACCGAUUUUAUACGAUGAGUGAGUGAUGCGAUGUAGGGUUACGAUGUCUAUACUCGACAUUUGCCUGUGGUGUUGAUGGACUUCAUGAAGAUUUUAUUUGCUUUUCCGUUGUAUUUUGUUUGUAUGCUAGCCUUGAGCUAUGGAGCUAUUGAUCCAGGGACUAGCACAAUGAGCACAUAGACAUCGAACCUUAUCAGGUUCGGGUCGUUACAAUUGGAUAAGGACGAGGUGACGAUGCGCGUCGGAAAUGUUUCCAAGGUCGAUGUGAUCGCCGUCGGCACGCUACCUCUACAUCUACCUUCAGGGUUAAUUUUAGAUCUGAAUAAUUGUUAUUUGG